UACGUAGGGGGCAAGCGUUGUCCGGAUUUAUUGGGCGUAAAGAGCGUGUAGGCGGCCAGAUAGGUCUGUUGUGAAAACUCGAGGCUCAACCUCGAGACGCCGAUGGAAACCAUUUGGCUAGAGUCCGGAAGAGGAGAGUGGAAUUCCUGGUGUGAGCGGUGAAUGCGCAGAGUAUCAGGAAGAACACCCGUGGCUAAGGCGGCUCUCUAGUACGGUACUGACGCUGAGACGCGAAAGCGUGGGGAGCGAACAGG
rnacentral:rRNA from 1 species